rnacentral:rRNA from 1 species
UACGGAGGGUGCAAGCGUUAUCCGGGUUUACUGGGUUUAAAGGGUGCGUAGGUGGGUAGGUAAGUCAGUGGUGAAAUCUUCGAGCUUAACUCGGAAACUGCCAUUGAUACUAUUUAUCUUGAAUACUUUGGAGGUAAGCGGAAUAUGUCAUGUAGCGGUGAAAUGCUUAGAUAUGACAUAGAACACCAAUUGCGAAGGCAGCUUACUACACAGUCAUUGACACUGAGGCACGAAAGCGUGGGGAUCAAACAGG